GCUGGAUUGACUGAGGGCUUAAGGUGUCCGCCUUGAAAGCGGAAGAUCUACACAGAUCCGAAGGUUCGAAUCCUUCAUCCAGCG
rnacentral:tRNA from 1 species